GAAGAUGUCCCUGGAAUUCUCGGUGAGUAUAUUCUUUUUAAAGUAAAAAUUUUAAGUUAUUUUGCUGCAUCUUGAAUUUGCUAGGUAUUCUUUUAAGUUUUACUUUCCGCAGUUUUUUGUUUAGAAGUCGUUGUGAUGUUAUUAAAAGUCAUAUAUUUCAUCUACAAAAUAAUUAAAAAAAUCAUUGAAAUGGAUUGAUUUAUGGUGUGUUGUUGUAAUAAAUAUGAAUAAUUUUC
rnacentral:misc_RNA from 1 species